UACAGAGGUCCCGAGCGUUGUUCGGAUUCACUGGGCGUAAAGGGUGCGUAGGUGGUUAGGUAAGUCCGAUGUGAAAUCUCCAGGCUCAACCUGGAAAUGGCAUUGGAUACUAUUUAGCUUGAGAACGAGAGAGGUGAGUGGAAUUCCCAGUGUAGAGGUGAAAUUCGUAGAUAUUGGGAAGAACACCAGUGGCGAAGGCGGUUCUCUGGGACGGUACUGACGCUGAGACGCGAAAGCGUGGGGAGCGAACAGG
rnacentral:rRNA from 1 species